UACGUAGGGUGCGAGCGUUGUCCGGAUUUAUUGGGCGUAAAGGGCUCGUAGGCGGCGUGUCGCGUCGGGAGUGAAAGACCGGGGCUUAACCCCGGUUCUGCUUCCGGUACGGGCAUGCUGGAGUGUGGCAGGGGGAGACUGGAAUUCCUGGUGUAGCGGUGGAAUGCGCAGAUAUCAGGAGGAACCACCGGUGGCGGAAGGCGGGGU
rnacentral:rRNA from 1 species